AGUGAACGCUGGCGGUAGGCCUAACACAUGCAAGUCGAACGGCAGCACAGUAAGAGCUUGCUCUUACGGGUGGCGAGUGGCGGACGGGUGAGGAAUACAUCGGAAUCUACUUUUUCGUGGGGGAUAACGUAGGGAAACUUACGCUAAUACCGCAUACGACCUACGGGUGAAAGCAGGGGAUCUUCGGACCUUGCGCGAUUGAAUGAGCCGAUGUCGGAUUAGCUAGUUGGCGGGGUAAAGGCCCACCAAGGCGACGAUCCGUAGCUGGUCUGAGAGGAUGAUCAGCCACACUGGAACUGAGACACGGUCCAGACUCCUACGGGAGGCAGCAGUGGGGAAUAUUGGACAAAGGGCGCAAGCCUGAUCCAGCCAUACCGCGUGGGUGAAGAAGGCCUUCGGGUUGUAAAGCCCUUUUGUUGGGAAAGAAAAGCAGCAGGUUAAUACCCCGCUGUUCUGACGGUACCCAAAGUAUAAGCACCGGCUAACUUCGUG
rnacentral:rRNA from 1 species